GAACGCAGCGAAAUGCGAUACGUAGUGUGAAUUGCAGAAUUCCGCGAAUCAUCGAGUCUUUGAACGCAAGUUGCGCCCGAGGCUCGUCCGAGGGCAUUUCCGUUAGAGCGUCACCG
rnacentral:rRNA from 1 species